GUAAUUUUGAACUAUGAUAUAGAUUACAUGUUUUUAAUAUUACAUUAUAAAAUGUGUUUUAUGUUUUAUUCUAGAAAGACAGACAAAUUAUAGUUUGUUUUUAAUUGCAAGUCAUUGUACACUUUUGUGUUUAUGAAGGCUGUCUAAUUAAGAUCAUAAGGGAAAUUAAUAUGACAAAAACAUUGUGUUAUAAAAAUUGUUACAUGUAUAUUGCAAAAAAAGAGACAAAAGGAACCAGAGGGAAUUAUAGCUCGACAAAAAAAAAGAAGAAAAAAGUUGGGGCUAAAAAAGGUAAACAGACUACAUAGACUACAAUGUAACAUACAAUAAUAAGUAAGAAAAAAAUAUAAAUAGAAGAGAACGAAAGAUACCAGAGGGACAGUUACACUCACAGAUCGAAAACAACCCGACAACGCCAUGGCUAAAAAGGGGAAAAAAAAACAAACAGACAAAUAAGAGAACAAAAUACACAUAAUACACCACAUAUACAACUAAAGACUGACCAACACUAAUCCCAUCACAAAUGGGGUUGAUCUCAGGUGCUCCUUUGAUGUCAAAAGAAACCU
rnacentral:lncRNA from 1 species